UACAGAGGGUGCAAGCGUUAAUCGGAGUUACUGGGCGUAAAGGGCGCGUAGGCGGUCCUACAAGUGAGAUGUGAAAUCCCCGGGCUCAACCUGGGAACUGCGUUUGAAACUACAAGGCUAGAGUGUAGCAGAGGGGGGGUAGAAUUCCACGUGUAGCAGUGAAAUGCGUAGAGAUGUGGAGGAAUACCAAUGGCGAAGGCAGCCCCCUGGGUUAACACUGACGCUCAUGCCACGAAAGCGUGGGGAGCAAACAGG
rnacentral:rRNA from 1 species